rnacentral:lncRNA from 1 species
AAGUGAUAUCAAAGGCCCCUUCCAGCUCUAAAAUUCUAAGAUUCUGUUUAGUGGGAGAUUUGCUCACAUUGUACCUAAGUGGUAGAUUUUUUAUUACAAGAAGAUGGCUCAUACUUCCUCCCCUCCUAAGUGCACAAAUCAGUGCAAAAAGAGUAAAUUCUGAUACAUUUUAAAUGACUACUGCCCUUGCUAGGCACUUGAAGAGGAGACAAGUACUGCUUGUCAUAUAACCACUGAGGAGUGAAUAAUACAGGGCUGCCUCAAAGCAAAAUAAUGAAGAAUAGGAAGCCUUACCUUACUGCACUGCCCCCUGCCAGCCUUCCUCAUUGCUCUACUAACUCCAAUACGUACUAACCAGUGCCCUCCAGAUCCCACUUUACACUAGCCACACCAGCCAAACGCGAAGUUUCCCCUUCUCCAGAACUGCCUGUACAGCUUCCUUCUUCACUUUUACCCAUGAAGUGGAUGCUUGACUCUUUCACCUCUGUAUACUUCAUAUCCUGUGGUUCUCAAUCCUAGCUUCUAUUAACAUCACCUAGGGAGCUUUGUAAACAUACAGAAGCCCAGCUGUUCACCCCCAGGGAUUCUGAUUUAAUGGGUUUGACAUGAGGCCCAGAUAUUGGUCUGAUUUUCGUUGUUUUUCUUUUUAAUUUCCAGCAGAUUAUUCUAAUAUAUAGCCAGAAUUGAGAACUACUGCACCUUUGAAACCAGAGUUGCUUAAUUUUUACCUGCUGGUUAAGCCCUUACUCUGGAUUCUGGGGUCAAUUCUGAUCUCAGCCAGGGAGUAUUCAAGGAUUCUUAGGCCAGCAGCUCAGCGGCUCAACCCCCAGAGCUUAAUCCCACAGUGGCCUGGACUCCCAGUUGCAGUAAUUACAGGCUGUCGUUGUUGAUUGUGACUAAGCCUCUCCCCUAAUAAUGAUAAUAAUAGAGAAAAUAUUGUAUGGGAUACACAAAACUUUGACACAUAAAACAAGUAUAUAAUUAGACUAUGACUUUUUAAAAAUCUGUGCUAAAAUAAUAGACAUCAUAAUAUUACAAGACUCUAAAUUAGGCCUCAAGUUGAUAAAUAGAUAUUCUGGAAGUACAACUUAAAAUUUUUUUAGAAAAAAAAACACUUAAAGAUUGAAAAACUUCAGUAGAGUAUACAACUUUUCACCAGGAGGCCAAAUACUAUGUUACUUCAUAAUAUGAAAAAAGUUUUACAAAC